rnacentral:lncRNA from 1 species
UAGGGAGAAUAAUUCUCAUUGAUUGACGUGGCUCCUUCACAGUGCAUGGAUGCAAGUUUCUCACCAUGGAGCCCAAGGGAACCCUACAGCACGAGAGAUGGAGUUUUAAGAACAAAAGUAAGUGCUCAUCUGCACAACUGGAAUAUCAAUUGAUUACUUUAGAAAAUCUUCCUAUAGACUUUCUUGGAAAACAAUGUAGUUGGUGAGUAGUGGAGUUCAAGGACUCCAAGCUACCAC